UUUUAUUCGCCAUGAACAGGGUUAUUGUAGCAGCGCGGUCCGAGCGCCCCAUCUUCCCUCCUCUCGCCUCCGCCAUGGCCUCCUCCCCUCUCCUGUCUCCUCCUCUCCUCCUCUCGCCUACGCCAUCGCCUCCUCCCCUCCCCUCUCUCUCUCCCUUCUCCUCCCUUUCAACCCUACCCACCUCCCCUCUGGAUCAAGUGCAGGCCGGCCAGUGCGCGCAGGCGGCAGCGCUCCACUCGUGGACACCCAUCUCUCUCCCCCGCAGACGAACCCCGCCGCAGGAGGCCCGUCCCGAGCUCGCCUCGCCGCUCCUCCAGUGACCCUCGUUGCGCCUGGAUCCGGGCGGAGGAGCCCUCUCAUGGCGUCGGCGGCUCUAGAGAUGAGGGCUGCCCAGAGGAAGAGGAACAUCAUCUUUCCCCUUCGCCAUCUCCAGCUGCCGCCACCAUCUCUCCCCUCUGCCCUCUCCAGCUGCCUUCCUCACAAGCCUUAUCUUCGAGCCGUCGUCCUUGCCUUCGACUCGUCCGCAGCUGACGUAGCUGAGAGGGGGGCCGAUGAGCUUGGCCACCGUGUGCUGCUCCACGAACUCGCUCAUGUCCAGCUGGACCAUUGCCUCCUCUAAGCCGUAGUAGCUGGUUGCCAGCGCCUUGGCCAGCUCCGACUUGCCCACGCCCGUCGGGCUGGCGAAAUUGAAGCUGGCCACCGGCCGGUUGGGGUUCCUGAGCCCAACGCGCGCACGGUGGAUGGCGCGGCCUAUGGCCCUGACGGCCUCGUCCUGGCCGGUGACGCGCCCGUGCACGGUCUCCUCCAUCUUGAACGACUGGUUGGACUCGUCCACAGAGACCUUCUCCACGGGGACGCUGGUCCGCGAUGUGACGAUGUGCUGGAUGUCCGCCUUCGUCACCAUUGGGCCAGCCGACGCUCCCGACUCCACCUCUGCCUUGCUCACCUCAUUGCUCUUGUCCACCAGCGACAUGAUCUUGAUUUUGAGCUCCAGCCUUUGGCUGCGAAGCUCUCCGGCCUAUAACCAUUCAGAUAAUUAGCGUCCUCCUAUAAGGUGUGCAUUUCAGGUUGACCUGUAGACGAGAAGAUUACCGUCUCAAAUUGCUGGGAGCGGAUGUCGUCGUUCUUCUGUCUGGUGAUUUCCUUGAGCUUCUUGGCGAGGUCUUUAGCUUCCUUAGGUAGCUGUCAGCAUAGUUCAAAAUUCAGAUUCAGACAUCUUGUAAAUUCAGAUUCAGACAUUUUGGAAAAUAUUUAGGUGCAUCACCAUUCGAAAACAUCUGUAGUACCUUGGCAUGGCGUAGCCUGACAAGAGAUCCCGCCUCAUCAACCAGGUCGAUUGCUUUGUCUGGGAGGAAACGAUCACUGCGAACAAAAUAGACCGUUAGAAAACUUCAUUGUACGCUGGGAACUACUCCUAUCCAACACUGAAAUUUGCAAGCGAAUCUGACCUACUACUCAGUAUGUGAUAGUACAGGUGCUCCAUAUGCAACACUGAUGGUGUUUUCCAUACUGCAGAAUACAUGCUUGCACAAUAUAUUGUAGUUAUCAUAAGUUUCUGUAAAUUUGUGCUUACCCCGUUUAUUUAUUAAUAUGAUACACAUGCAUUCAACUUAAUCUACCCGUGACUCUGUAUUUUUUUUCCUGCGCACUACUCUGAUAAAGCUUCUCUAUUGUUUUGGUUUUGCGUUUUGCUUUCUUUUUCUGAAAAUUAGUAGUUGGAACUGUCGAAACUGGGUGCUUUUUGCAGCUCUCUUUCCUACUUCUAGCGCUGAAAUUACGCCUUACUAACUGGCGUACAUGUUCCUUGUAUAUAACUGACUUUUCUGUUUCCUGAGGACAAGAGCACCAUACAGAAAAUUGGUAGUUGUUGUCUUUCAUGAUAAGGUAUGUACACAUUCAUAAGCUCGUGUGUUUGUGCGGUCAGGUUGGCUGCCUAUAUGUUUUGGGGUUCGCCUGCUCGCUGUAUUGACAACCAUAGAAAAAUAUAGCAAGAGUAAAAUUAGGCUUGUUGUUUGAGAUGGUUCCUUUACACGAUAAAUAAAUUGGAGUGAUUUCAAACUCUUAAGGCCCUUGACCGGUUAGAGAAAGACGGGUUGAACUGAAUUCUGGAUAUGUAGUGUUAUCUAAUCUUGUGGUGCUUUUAACUUUGAUCUUGCAACUGAACCUGCAGACUACUUAUUUUUUUGGAUGUGUAAACCUGAAUGUUGGAAACUAAAUUUGUCGCCCUGGGUUCAGUGGUAUUCAAGUGCGACAGGACCAUAUUGUGACCAUAUUAUGACAGGGUCAUAAACAUGAAAGCAUGAAACUAACUGUGUUCCCUGGGUGGUCCUAUACAUUGAGAUUAGCUAUCUUGAGCAUCACUCUUUAUUUCGGCGCAAGAGGACCAUACAGUGACAUGAAGUUUUAUCUUUGCUCCUGGGCAUACUGCUACUUUGUUGAUAUAUCUGAAGCCGUCUGAACCUGGUUCUUUUCAGGCAUAUUUUUUAUAUUUAUCAAUGCAUUGUACAUAGUGAAAUUGUCCCUAAUUAUUCUCUGUUGUAGUGCAAUGUUUUUUGUUUAGUUUGGAUAGACAGUAUUAUCUUUAGUAUUAACUAUGUUCCCUGGGUGGUCCUCCCCGAGUGUUUCUUGCUCGAUUGGCCACUUCAGGCUUCACAUAUGUGUGUGUUGCAAGCUCUCAGGUUUGGAGAAUAAUUGUAGGAUUAGGUAAUUUGAGAGACUAAUUAUGAGCGUUAAAAAGGUCACACAGUCGGCAACAGUGGUUAUAUCAGCUCGAAAAAAGCAGUGUUGCUUGACGUUGAUGGCUUGACCUUUCGGGCCUCUCUCCUUGGGCUCCUGAUUUCUCAGCCAGGAUCAUCUUGCCAGUGUGUUUCACCCUCCCAUUUCUGAUAUCAUUGAAUAAUUUACAAAUGGGAUAUCUCUUAUUCGGGAUUAAAGUUUUGAUGGUUAGAUUGAUUGCUUCGUUUCAUAUAUAAUUUCCCUGUAGGCUUCUAAUGUAUUCAGAUGACAUACCUAUUGUCCAUACUAGGGCUUUAAAUGCAUCUGCUCCUAUAAUUGGUCAUUCAGUUAGUAUUACAUGAAAAGAAACAGUCCAGCUUAAUUCCCUCAUUUGGUUGGGUAUGCGUCUCAUUUAUAUACUCACACAGUGGUUUAUUUGAAUGUUUGUUCUCCACUCACUGCCUUGUGCCUUAGAUAGCUGCAGAUGAGGAUGUAUGAACAAUUUGGCCAGGAACUCAAUCAGACCAUUCGACUGAAGCUGAAGGGGCAUUGCAAAGAUACGGAGGGAUUGCCUUUCAUUCAGAACCUGGUUAGCUAAAAGUCACGUGGAGAGUAAUGGAAGGCCCUGUGGAUUGUGUUAGCUGGUUUUCUGAUUCGUGUUUAGCUCAGGGAUUCUCAUUUAUCAUGCAGGUCGUUGUGGCCAUGCGAAAGAUAUCCACACAGUUAGAUUUCUAUUUUAACUAAUCCCCGUUCAGCCUCUCAGUCAUGUUCAAGUCUUAAUAUUAUUUCCCCUAUUUUUACAGCAGGUGAUGGCAUAAUUUAAUGAAUGGCAUUAUGGUAGGACGCAUGUGGUAUUUGAUUACAAUGGUGUCUCACAGGGUUACAAAAGUUGUGUUCUUACACAUUUGAGAUGAAAGAAAUUCAAUUUUUUUGCGGGUAUUCAAAAUAGGUAAGCCAAUAAAUCAUGUUUCUUCUUUGCUGCUCUAGCUGUCAUGUGCCACAUAGUUAUUUCCGUCCCACAUGCUCCUGGUUGCCUAUUUAGAUUCUGUUCAUGAGCUAUGUUAUUUUGUAUCUAUAACCUUGAUAAAAUUUAAGAAGGCAUGUCUUGUGGUUCCUCCUCCUUUUCUCGACAUUGGGCCGCUGCCGUCAUUUUGUCAAGUAGCUAAUUGUUUCUUUCCAUGGUUGUGAUGUCAAGGAUCAUGGAGACCAAGGUCACCACAUCCUGAUAUCCUGGUGCAUGUAGAAUAUAUAUAUUUAUGUCUAUGUUGCUCUGAUGAAGUCGUUGCUGGAUUAAUUACAAUGUGUGUUUUGUUAGAGCAGGAGGCUGGAAGGGAUCUUAAAAUAUGGUGAGAGUUUUCUUCAAUCAUACCAAAAUUCAUUAAAAAAAAUAGCUACAGUUGUUGGCCUGCUUUAGGUGCGAAGCUGAGAUCUUUUAGGAAGUGGGCGCUGGAGCAAGUAGUGAACUACUUAAGUAAUCAUUUACGUAUUCUGUUUACCAUCCCGGCAGAGAUAUUGGAUGAGUUCGGUCAUCCCUUACUUUAGUUAGAGCAAUCUAGUCUUUUUUGUGUAUCAGUGCUAGCUUCGUAUUGCAAUAAUCCCUUAUAGGGUUUUAAUUUUGAGUAAUCGUGUUCUUAUUCUGUUUUCCAGGAAGGUACAAAGGCUAAGGUGAAGAAUGAUUGUUGUAAGGAAGUUCAACCUGGGAGAGGUCCCCAUAACUACUCAAAUAUACACUUAUUGAAAAAAUGCAAAUAUUUUCAACACGAACAUGGUUUUAAACGGGUCUUUGCGCCAUUUGGCGCAACUGGUCAUCUAGUAAAGAGAAGUCACCCUUCCCUCGAUUUAAA